UUCCGGUUGAUCCUGCCGGAGGUCACUGCUAUUGGGAUUCGAUUAAGCCAUGCGAGUCGAGAGGGUUCGGCCCUCGGCAGACUGCUCAGUAACACGUGGAUAAUCUGCCCUAAGGUGGAGGAUAAUCUCGGGAAACUGAGAAUAAUAAUCCAUAGGUCUAGGAUACUGGAAUGUACUUAGACUAAAAGCUCCGGCGCCUUAGGAUGAAUCUGCGGACUAUCAGGUAGUAGUCAGGAUAAAGACCUGACUAGCCAACGACGGAUACGGGUUGUGAGAGCAAUAACCCGGAGACGAUAUCUGAGACACGAUAUCGGGCCCUACGGGGCGCAGCAGGCGCGAAACCUUCACACUGUGCGAAAGCACGAUGAGGGGAUCCCAAGUGCUUGCACGUAAGUGUAAGCUGUUUCUUUGUUUAAAAUGCAUAGAGAGUAAGGGCUGGGUAAGACGGGUGCCAGCCGCCGCGGUAAUACCUGCAGCUCAAGUGGUGACCACUAUUAUUGGGCCUAAAACGUCCGUAGCCGGUUUGAUAAAUGCCUGGGUAAAUCGUAUAGCUCAACUAUACGAAUUCCGGGUAGACUGUCAAACUUGAGACCGGGAGAAGCUAGAGGUACUCCUGGGGUAGAGGUGAAAUUCUGUAAUCCUGAGGGGACCACCAGUGGCGAAGGCGUCUAGCUAGAACGGGUCUGACGGUGAGGGACGAAGCCCUGGGGGCGCAAACCGGAUUAGAUACCCGGGUAGUCCAGGGUGUAAACGCUGCUUGCUUGAUGUUAGUCGGGCUCCGAGCCCGACUAGUGUCGGAGAGAAGUUGUUAAGCAAGCUGCCUGGAAAUACGAUCGCAAGAUUGAAACUUAAAGGAAUUGGCGGGGGAGCA
rnacentral:rRNA from 1 species